rnacentral:lncRNA from 1 species
UCUUGUAUUUUAUUUAGAAACAGGGUCUUAUUGAGUUGCUUAGUACUUUCUUUUGCUGAGGCUGGCUUUCAACUCAUAAUCCUCCUGUCUCAGCCUUACAAGCUUUUGGGAUUAGAGGCAUGUGCCACCACACCUGACUGCUAACUUAUAUUUGACAAGUUAUUGUCUGUAAGAUUGUUGAAAGGAUUGUCAAUGACAAUUCUUCUUUUUUACAAAUUCUUACAUAACAGGCAUUACUGGGUUACUACUAGGCAUGGUUUAAUUUUCUUUAUUUGCUUUUAGUUCUGACUUCCAAUACAUUGUUCUCAUGAAUUCACCUAUUCUCCCCUCCCAUAUGAUAUUUUUUUUCACAAAAUAGAAACAUAGAAUUUCUUUCCUUCCUCCCACGAUGAAGAUAUUUUUGAUGAUUUCCUAUUGAUGGGACAGAAACCGAGAUCCAUACACUGAACAAAGGAGAGAGGUGGUGAAAAUUAAAACUGGAUACAAAAUACAUCUUUCUUUCAGAGAUUGAGUAGAGAUACUGAACUGGAUUUCUUCAGGUAUGCUCAGAUUCCCACUUUCCUACUAUACCUAGACAUUGCUCUUCUUCUCUUCACCUUUUCAGUGUGAGAGAGAGAGACUGUAGAAGAAGAGUUACAAGACAAAUUACUUGACUCAGAAUGAACAUUUUCCUCAAGUACCAAUGCUUUGUCCUCCAAAGAGAACACAGAAUGUGAAUAAUACAUGUAUAAGAUUGAAGCUACAAAGAAGGUAGAACAAAUAUCAUGGUGCUGGAGUAAGAGUUAAUUCAUUUAUUCAAAUAAAAUUUUUUUCUGAAUAUUAUGUGCCAAGCUCUAAAAAUGGAUACUUUGCAUAACUUUGUAGAAAUUGCAUAUUCUGCCAAAAAACUACAUGAAAAUUAUAUUUUCAUUGCAUAUUGGGGUUUGAACUAGACUUCCAUCAUUUGAAUUGGCUUUCAUGCCAUCCAGUAAUCUCUAUUUCUGAUGUUUCAUAGUUUAUAAAGUAGAAAAAUAGUUUGCUUUGAUAAUUUUUGUAACUUUUGCUUUGUAAAAACCUCCUAAU